AAAAGAGUUGGGCCAAGAAAAGAGAUGAAAGAGGAAAACUUUACCGGUUCUCGUUUGCACUACUAGGGAUGUUUCCAGGAGAGCAAUGCAGGCAAGGAGGUUGGAGAUGGGCGGAUAUGAGAGGGACCGAAGGAAUAUGCAAAAACCAGUGAGUGAGCGAGGUCGUUCGGCGCACCCAAUCCAAGCCUAGGAACUGCCCCCACAAAUUAUCG
rnacentral:lncRNA from 1 species